rnacentral:lncRNA from 1 species
AGCGUCGGAAGCAAUGGAUCCCCACGCAAUUGCACACCAACGCUAGGGGAUGAUCUCGCCCCAGCUGACUCAUUUUCUCAUUCGUGCAGCAGACAUUUAUUGAGCGCCUACUGUAUGGAUGGAUACUGUACGCCAGAGAACCGCUGCGUGGCGCUCCAAUUCAGUUCUUCACAUCCACACAGCCCUGGAGGAUUUACAAAAUACAUUAAGAAAGUAGUCUGUGUGGGCCAGGCAUGGUGGUGCUUGCCUGUAGUCCCAGCUACUCAGGCCGAGAUGGGAGGAUCCCUUGAGCCCAGGAGUUUAAGGCUGCACUGAGCUGAUCACACCACUGCACUCC